rnacentral:rRNA from 1 species
UCAAGUGAAGAAGCGCAUACGGUGGAUGCCUUGGCAGUCAGAGGCGAUGAAAGACGUGGUAGCCUGCGAAAAGCUUCGGGGAGUCGGCAAACAGACUUUGAUCCGGAGAUCUCUGAAUGGGGGAACCCACCUAGGAUAACCUAGGUAUCUUGUACUGAAUCCAUAGGUGCAAGAGGCGAACCAGGGGACUGAAACAUCUAAGUACCCUGAGGAAAAGAAAUCAACCGAGAUUCCCUUAGUAGUGGCGAGCGACGGGGAUUAGCCUUAAGCUUCAUUGAUUUUAGCGGAACGCUCUGGAAAGUGCGGCCAUAGUGGGUGAUAGCCCCGUACGCGAAAGGAUCUUUGAAGUGAAAUCGAGUAGGACGGAGCACGAGAAACUUUGUUCUGAACAUGGGGGACCAUCCUCCAAGGCUAAAUACUACUGACUGACCGAUAGUGAACCAGUACCGUGAGGGAAAGGCGAAAAGAACCCCGGAGAGGGGAGUGAAAUAGAACCUGAAACCGUAUGCGUACAAGCAGUGGGAGCCUACUUGUUAGGUGACUGCGUACCUUUUGUAUAAUGGGUCAGCGACUUAUAUUCAGUGCAAGCUUAACCGUAUAGGGUAGGCGUAGCGAAAGCGAGUCUUAAUAGGGCGUUUAGUCGCUGGGUAUAGACCCGAAACCGGGCGAUCUAUCCAUGAGCAGGUUGAAGGUUAGGUAACACUGACUGGAGGACCGAACCCACUCCCGUUGAAAAGGUAGGGGAUGACUUGUGGAUCGGAGUGAAAGGCUAAUCAAGCUCGGAGAUAGCUGGUUUCCUCGAAAGCUAUUUAGGUAGCGCCUCAUGUAUCACUCUGGGGGGUAGAGCACUGUUUCGGCUAGGGGGUCAUCCCGACUUACCAAACCGAUGCAAACUCCGAUACCAGAAGUGCCGAGCAUGGGAGACACACGGCGGGUGCUAACGUCCGUCGUGAAAAGGGAAACAACCCAGACCGCCAGCUAAGGUCCCAAAGUUGUGGUUAAGUGGUAAACGAUGUGGAAGGCUUAGACAGCUAGGAGGUUGGCUUAGAAACAGCCACCCUUUAAAGAAAGCGUAAUAGCUCACUAGUCGAGUCGGCCUGCGCGGAAGAUGUAACGGGGCUCAAACACACACCGAAGCUGCGGGUGUCACGUAAGUGACGCGGUAGAGGAGCGUUCUGUAAGCCUGUGAAGGUGAGUGAGAAGCUUGCUGGAGGUAUCAGAAGUGCGAAUGCUGACAUGAGUAACGACAAUGGGUGUGAAAAACACCCACGCCGAAAGACCAAGGGUUCCUGCGCAACGUUAAUCGACGCAGGGUUAGUCGGUUCCUAAGGCGAGGCUGAAAAGCGUAGUCGAUGGGAAACAGGUUAAUAUUCCUGUACUUCUGGUUACUGCGAUGGAGGACGGAGAAGGCUAGGCCAGCUUGGCGUUGGUUGUCCAAGUUUAAGGUGGUAGGCUGAAAUCUUAGGUAAAUCCGGGGUUUCAAGGCCGAGAGCUGAUGACGAGUCGUCUUUAGAUGACGAAGUGGUUGAUGCCAUGCUUCCAAGAAAAGCUUCUAGCUUCAGGUAACCAGGAACCGUACCCCAAAACCGACACAGGUGGUCGGGUAGAGAAUACCAAGGCGCUUGAGAGAACUCGGGUGAAGGAACUAGGCAAAAUGGCACCGUAACUUCGGGGAGUGCGCCGGCUAGGGUGAAGGAUUACUCCGUAAGCUCUGGCUGGUCGAAGAUACCAGGCCGCUGCGACUGUUUAUUAAAAACACAGCACUCUGCAAACACGAAAGUGGACGUAUAGGGUGUGACGCCUGCCCGGUGCCGGAAGGUUAAUUGAUGGGGUUAGCGCAAGCGAAGCUCUUGAUCGAAGCCCCGGUAAACGGCGGCCGUAACUAUAACGGUCCUAAGGUAGCGAAAUUCCUUGUCGGGUAAGUUCCGACCUGCACGAAUGGCGUAACGAUGGCGGCGCUGUCUCCACCCGAGACUCAGUGAAUUGAAAUCGCUGUGAAGAUGCAGUGUAUCCGCGGCUAGACGGAAAGACCCGUGAACCUUUACUGUAGCUUUGCACUGGACUUUGAGCCUGCUUGUGUAGGAUAGGUGGGAGGCUUUGAAGCGUGGACGCCAGUUCGCGUGGAGCCAUCCUUGAAAUACCACCCUGGCAUGCUUGAGGUUCUAACUCUGGUCCGUAAUCCGGAUCGAGGACAGUGUAUGGUGGGCAGUUUGACUGGGGCGGUCUCCUCCUAAAGAGUAACGGAGGAGUACGAAGGUGCGCUCAGACCGGUCGGAAAUCGGUCGUAGAGUAUAAAGGCAAAAGCGCGCUUGACUGCGAGACAGACACGUCGAGCAGGUACGAAAGUAGGUCUUAGUGAUCCGGUGGUUCUGUAUGGAAGGGCCAUCGCUCAACGGAUAAAAGGUACUCCGGGGAUAACAGGCUGAUACCGCCCAAGAGUUCAUAUCGACGGCGGUGUUUGGCACCUCGAUGUCGGCUCAUCACAUCCUGGGCUGAAGCCGGUCCCAAGGGUAUGGCUGUUCGCCAUUUAAAGUGGUACGCGAGCUGGGUUUAGAACGUCGUGAGACAGUUCGGUCCCUAUCUGCCGUGGACGUUUGAGAUUUGAGGGGGCUGCUCCUAGUACGAGAGGACCGGAGUGGACGAACCUCUGGUGUUCCGGUUGUCACGCCAGUGGCAUUGCCGGUAGCUAUGUUCGGAAAAGAUAACCGCUGAAAGCAUCUAAGCGGGAAACUUGCCUCAAGAUGAGAUCUCACUGGGAACUUGAUUCCCCUGAAGGGCCGUCGAAGACUACGACGUUGAUAGGCUGGGUGUGUAAGCGUUGUGAGGCGUUGAGCUAACCAGUACUAAUUGCCCGUGAGGCUUGACCAA